CAGUAGCCGCGGGAAUACGUAGGUGGCAAGCGUUGUCCGGAAUUAUUGGGCGUAAAGGGCUCGCAGGCGGUUUCUUAAGUCUGAUGUGAAAGCCCCCAGCUCAACCGGGGAGGGUCAUUGGAAACUGGGAAACUUGAGUGCAGAAGAGGAGAGUGGAAUUCCACGUGUAGCGGUGAAAUGCGUAGAGAUGUGGAGGAACACCAGUGGCGAAGGCGACUCUCUGGUCUGUAACUGACGCUGAGGAGCGAAAGCGCGGGGAGCGAACAGGAUUAGAUACCCGGGUAGUCCCUGUCUCUUAUAA
rnacentral:rRNA from 1 species